GAUGAAGAACGUAGCGAAAUGCGAUAAGUAAUGUGAAUUGCAGAAUUCAGUGAAUCAUCGAAUCUUUGAACGCACAUUGCGCCCGCCAGUAUUCUGGCGGGCAUGCCUGUUCGAGCGUCAUUUCAACCAUCAAGCCCCAGGCUUGUGUUGGGGGCCUGCAGCUGCUGCAGCCCCCUAAAAGCAGUGGCGGACUCGCGGUCAUACCGAGCGCAGUAGUUACAUCUCGCUCUGGGCAUGGCGGCGGGCACCUGCCGUAAAACACUCUUUCUAAGGUUGACCUCGGAUCAGGUAGGAAUACCCGCUGAACUUAAGCAUAUCAAUAAGCGGAGGA
rnacentral:misc_RNA from 1 species